UGCUGCAUGGUAAUUAUACUGACAGUAAAUAAGGGGCAUUGUACUAUUGGUGUGCCCUAAUGAUUGAAUCUAUCAUUCCUGUAUGUGUUGCAUGUUCUCCUGCAAGGGUUUACAGUGAUGGUCCUUCUAAAGACUGUUUUAUACUUCUGUGUAGUCUGCAUAGUUUGCAUGAUUUGCAUUGUGUGCGACAUUUGCAAACAGGCAGAGCAUUUAUAUGACAUGUUGUACAGGUACAGGUUGUGAUUUUCCACCCACUUACAGAUACCUUCAAUUCCAUAUCUUUCAUAUCCUUUAAUAAACUUUUAUCACAUCCAUACUGUAUGCUAUGGGAACGAGGCACAGACGAGGCAGACAGUGCUGACAACAUGCCUGUUGAGGACUUUUAUUGUGACAGCGGUAUCACAAUGAAUGAAGACAGGGGAAAAGUGAAACACGAAAGACAAGGUGAAAGACUACUCAAAGAGAGCGAUCAGGCUACUCAAAUGUUGGGGGAAGCAAAAGUGCUAGGGAAGUGCAGGCGGGUCCAAAAUUCAGGCCACGAGGAGGGGCACAUCCGAGUCUGCCACAAAAAAAAAAAAAAAACGAGAAUCAGAGGCUGUUAGUCACUCAGUGAGGGGAAAGCCAGCACACCCCUGGAGUGAGACCAUGAGGCCUAUAUAGGGCCAGCAGCUACUCAGGCAAAGGGGAAAGGGGAUGUGGAAAAAGCACUGGUAUGCUGCUGGCGGCCUGAUUGUAUCGCAGGUCCAGGUCUGAAAUGAUUGGAUGGAUUAUAGCGUAAAGACAUGGAGAACAUAGGUGCAAUGUGUGGAUGUUUCAAAAGACACCACAUCUUUGAAAAUCUAGUGUCUACCAGCAAUAAAAGUUAGUGGCAGUAAUCAGUUGUGCUGUUCUGAUACAGCCACUAGAUGGCGAUGCAGUGCAAUUCCAGUUGAUGCAGUAGUUGCAUUGCUGUAAGAUCGUGCCAGAUGAACUGAAGUGUAGCACAGCUCGUACACGGCUCACGCACUGCUUCAUCUGUUAGCAGGGACAAUAUCGCAGGUCUGCCCAAUAAUAUCAUGACUGGUUAGAUAAAACCUUCAUGUUAUUUUAUAUACUGGUGUAUAUAUUUAAGUUGUCCGUGACAGUUAGCUGCUUAGUUCCUCUCUGGCUCCGCUAGCUAGGUUGGGUCAUGAAGUAACGUUAAGAAUGAACUAGCUGAGGUAACAGUAAACAGCUCAGAGCGAGCUGGCAUCGCCAUGGUAACCAACCGACCCUCCUAACUGCCACAUUUUAAACAGCGUCGUCAUGGUUACUGUCACGUUACUUUGGCGAGAGGUAAAUAAGGAAGAGCGCAAUUUUGUAUCGAAUGCGGUUUCAUUUCACCUUGCUGAAUAUUUUAAAAUGAAUGUCAAAAACCCUGACAGACUGUAUAAUUUGUUAAACUUAAAUUGUUUGAUAACUUGAUGUUACAAGAUUAGGAAGAAAAUAUUAUCAUGAUGACAGUAAUGUAUUUAGCUAAUGGGUUAUACGAGUACAUUAACAGUUAUAUUUAUCUAUUCAUAGUGAUGAAUAUUCAGCGUCUUUGAAAUGUAUAGAUGUUUAUGAACUGAAGAACAUGUCAGGUGAGGUAAAGUGCACCACAAAAAUGCUGUUUUUUGUGUUUGCAGAUGAAAUUAAUAUGUUUGCAAAUCAGCUAAGUUCAUCACAUGGAAAGGGUUAUUAGAACCCAGUAAUUGCCUUAGACUAUUGUGGAUUAGUCAGAAUACUUUAUGAACUUCAUUUAAACACCCCCCUCCCUGUUUUUUGUGUGUACAUCUCAGGAAUGCGUAGGUACAUAUGUAUCAACUGUCAAGGUGAACAAUGUCACAAAGAAUUUGUGCGUGUGUUUGUGUGUGU